UACGUAGGAUCCGAGCGUUGUCCGGAAUUACUGGGCGUAAAGAGCUCGUAGGUGGUUUGUCGCGUUGUUCGUGAAACUCACAGCUUAACUGUGGGCGUGCGGGCGAUACGGGCAGACUUGAGUACUGCAGGGGAGACUGGAAGUUCCUGGUGUAGCGGUGGAAUGCGCAGAUAUCAGGAGGAACACCGGUGGCGAAGGCAGGUCUCUGGGCCAGCUACUGACGCUGAGAAGCGAAAGCAUGGGGAGCGAACAGG
rnacentral:rRNA from 1 species